GAACCGUGGUCAGAUUCCGCCAUUGUCAGAAGAAAAAAGAAGAAAAGGCUUGAAAGGUGUAGAUUGAAAGAGGAGAAUUGUGGAGUGAAAGUGAGGAAGAAGAAGGAGGAAGAGAGAAUAUAAAGAGAAGAAAAAAAAAUCGAACGGUCAAAUUUGCACACAAACCGAGGCAGUCGAAGCUGCCUUCAAAUUCAAAAUUCAAAUAUUCUUUUUUUUUAAAGGCGCGAGUAAAACACGCGCCUAUUUUCAAUGGUCGAUCGGGUACACGACAGAACAUGUAGCCCUCGUGUAAGUGAGGGCUGCAUCGACUUACACGAUAGCAGCCUUACACGAGUAGGCUGCUAUCGUGUAAGCGAUGCGGAUGCUCUUGGGAGUAUAACUAAAGAGGCUCUCAAUGAACUCUUUAACUUGAUUAAUGACAUGUUGAAACAAAAAAUGGAGAUUCAUCAAAAUAAAAUAUAAAAACCUAGUAAAAAAAACUGUAUGCAUUUAUAUAGUAUAUACUAAUAAUUUAUACCAAUUGGAAAAAUUAUAUUGAAUUAAGUGGAAAAAUAAAAUAAAAAAUAACCCACAAGACUAGAUUUUGAUUUAAAAUAUAAAUCAAUAACCCUUACAAAAUUUCUCAAGACCAAAUUCUCACUACAUGUAAAUGAAUAGCCAGAAAAAGUAAAGAUAGAAACCCUACCUCAGUCUCAGCUGCGCCGCAUCUCUUUUUCUUUCGAUUUAACCUUAUUUUCUUCCGCCGCCAUCUCCCCUCAUCAUAUUUCCUUGUAUAAAAUGAGUUUUGCAGUUUGGUUUGAGAUAUCUAAGCUUCACGAGAUGUCGAGAAGGCGGCAGCUGCUGCUUUCACGAAAUUGCUGAGCUCUCUGGUCAAGAUCCAGCCAUAUACACUGGUGCAUUUUAUCUGUUCGACGAAAUGGUUCAAAGUUUUUUCAAGCGUUGUUACGAAUCAAACGUGGUGGUGUUCACCAAGCUCCUCAAUGGGCUUUUUUCUGGCAGUGGAGAAGUUGUUGAGAGAGAAACUGCGUGAGUAUAAUGAAGUUACAUGUUGCAAAGCUGAGCAUAUUCCAUCGUGAUAGAUGGGCUAUGCAUCAGAUUUUAAUGUUUGAGUGGCUCGAGAAGAGGUUGGAUGCUCAUUCAACGAGCUAUGUUGAUUCCCAACAUAGUAACAUACAGAUUAAUCUCUUCGAACAAGACCUGGUAUCGCAAGUCGCUGGUGCAGCCGAAUACAGGGCCCAACUAUGCCAAUGAUGAAUGAUUUCUUGUGGAUAUGGCGUAUUCUUUUGUUGCAAACAUUCAAAUUUUUUUUUCCGGAUUUGAUGCUCAACUCCGCGGAUUGACAAAUUAGUGUCAGUUUCUUCCGGCACCUCCGGUAGGAGCAUACUUUUAAAAUAGUUGAGAUCGACUAUUGAGAAUUUGAGAUAGUAUCAGUUUCUUCAGGAGGGAGUGUUUGAUGCAUUUGAGAUAGUGUCAAUUUCUUCAGGGAGGGAGUGUUUGAUGCUUCCAGAGGGAUUGUACAAUGAUAUAAUGUAGCAUUCAUAUUCUUAAUUAUGUUUUAGGUUGAUUUUUAUGUUAUAUAAUGCUGAAACUGCGUUUAGUUGAAACUAAUGCAUUGCUAAGUUCUCAUUA